CUACGGGCUGCAGCAGUGAGGAAUAUUGCACAAUGGGGGGAACCCUGAUGCAGCAACGCCGCGUGGAGGAUGACGCAUUUCGGUGUGUAAACUCCUUUUAUAUGUCAAGAAAAUGACGGUAGCAUAUGAAUAAGCACCGGCUAACUCCGUGCCAGCAGCCGCGGUAAUACGGAGGGUGCAAGCGUUACUCGGAAUCACGGGGCGUAAAGGACGCGUAGGCGGGUUGGAAAGUCAGGUGUGAAAUCCUACAGCUUAACUGUAGAACUGCACUUGAAACUUCCAAUCUAGAGUAUGGGAGGGGGAGAUGGAAUUAGUGGUGUAGGGGUAAAAUCCGUAGAUAUCACUAGGAAUACCUAAAGCGAAGGCGAUCUCCUGGAACAUUACUGACGCUAAGGCGUGAAAGCGUGGGGAGCAAACAGGAUUAGAUACCCCAGUAGUC
rnacentral:rRNA from 1 species